rnacentral:rRNA from 1 species
UACAGAGGGUGCGAGCGUUAAUCGGAAUUACUGGGCGUAAAGCGUGCGUAGGCGGUCGGGUAAGUCGGGUGUGAAAGCCCCGGGCUCAACCUGGGAAUUGCAUUCGAGACUGCACGGCUGGAGUGCGGAAGAGGGAAGCGGAAUUUCCGGUGUAGCGGUGAAAUGCGUAGAUAUCGGAAGGAACAUCAGUGGCGAAAGCGGCUUCCUGGUCCAGCACUGACGCUCAGGCACGAAAGCGUGGGGAUCAAACAGG